rnacentral:rRNA from 1 species
UACGUAGGGUGCGAGCGUUAAUCGGAAUUACUGGGCGUAAAGCGUGCGCAGGCGGUUCGUUGUGUCGGUGGUGAAAGCCCCGGGCUUAACCUGGGAAUGGCCAUGGAAACUGGCGAACUGGAGUGUGGCAGAGGGGGGUGGAAUUCCGCGUGUAGCAGUGAAAUGCGUAGAGAUCGGAAAGAACACCAACGGCGAAAGCACUCUGCUGGGCCGACACUGACACUGAGAGACGAAAGCUAGGGGAGCGAAUGGG